CCUACGGGAGGCAGCAGUAAGGAAUAUUGGACAAUGCUCGCAAGAGUGAUCCAGCCAUGCCGCGUGCAGGAAGAAUGCCCUAUGGGUAGUAAACUGCUUUUGAACUAGAGAAAACCCCAGUACGUGUACUGGGCUGAUAGUAUAGUUAGAAUAAGCAUCGGCUAACUUCGUGCCAGCAGCCGCGGUAAGACGAAGGAUGCAAGCGUUAUCCGGAUUCAUUGGGUUUAAAGGGAGCGUAGGUGGACUGAUAAGUCAGUGGUGAAAUCUCCGAGCUUAACUCGGAAAUUGCCAUUGAUACUGUUGGUCUUGAGUACAGUUGCUGUGGGCGGAAUAUGACAUGUAGUGGUGAAAUACAUAGAGAUGUCAUAGAACACCGAUUGCGAAGGCAGCUCACAAAGCUGUAACUGACACUGAGGCUCGAAAGUGCGGGGAUCAAACAGGAUUAGAUACCCUGGUAGUCCGCACCGUAAACGAUGAUUACUCGCUGCUAGGGGGCACCGUUAGUGGCUUAGCGAAAGCGAAUAAGUAAUUCACCUGGGGAGUUACGCCGGCGACGGUUGAACGUUCAAAGGAAUUGACGGCGUUGAGGACGNGCGACGGACGACGACGAGGAGGAGG
rnacentral:rRNA from 1 species